GCGGGAGAGCCUGUGACGCAGGGGGCGUCAGUCGUUCCACCACGCGUCACGGGGUGGAAGUUACGUACACCCGAUGCUGUGCCUCACGUCGGCUGACAAGGGUUCGAGGAACUUCGUUGCGUUUUGAUGACGGCAUCCGCAGUGAGCCGGAAGUGUUUACGAGCCGGCGCGGGGCAUGGCGUCUGUGGUGCUGAGCGAGGCGGAGAAGGUUUAUGUCGUGCACGGGAUCCAGGAGGAUCUUCGGGUAGAUGGCCGUGGCUGUGAAGACUAUAGAUGCAUUGAAGUAGAAACAGAUGUGGUAUCAAACACAAGUGGAUCUGCAAGGGUGAAGCUUGGCCACACUGACAUCUUGGUAGGAGUCAAAGCUGAAAUGGGAACGCCAAAACUGGAGAAACCAGAUGAAGGUUACCUGGAAUUCUUUGUCGAUUGUUCAGCAAAUGCUACUCCUGAAUUUGAAGGCCGGGGAGGAGAAGAGCUGGGUACAGAAAUAGCAAAUACAUUGUACAGAAUAUUUAUUAAUGACAGCAGCAUAGAUCUAAAAUCGCUUUGUAUUAACCCCAGAGAUCACUGUUGGAUUCUGUAUGUUGAUGUCUUGUUACUGGAAUGUGGUGGAAAUCUCUUUGAUGCAAUCUCUGUUGCAGUGAAGGCAGCUCUUUUCAAUACAAGGAUACCUAAAGUACGUGUUCUAGAGAUUGAAGAAGGUUCAAGAGAAAUUGAGCUGUCUGAUGACCCUUAUGACUGUAUUCGACUUAACGUGGAAAAUGUACCCUGCAUCAUCACAUUAAGCAAAAUUGGUUGUAGACAUGUGGUUGAUGCUACUCUUCAGGAGGAAGCAUGCUCUUUGGCUAGCCUGCUUAUUUCUGUGACCAGCAAAGGCUUGCUUACUUGUAUGAAGAAACUAGGCAAAGGUAGUCUUGAUCCAGAGAGUAUCUUUGAGAUGAUGGAGCAGAUCACUAAUCUUGACUCGUACCAUUGAGCUAGUGCCUGCUCUUAAAGAAUUUGCUUCAUCCUGUGCCUCAGUGGACCAAUUACAAGAUAAAGACACUAGAGGUGCGCCAAUACAUUGGUCCGAUCUUGGAUCAGCACUGAUAUAAAGAACAUUGACUGGAUUGGAAAUUGGCCUGAUGUGGCCAAUAAUUUGGCUGAUAAAUGCCCGUGCAUACAUGCAGCCGCAGCGCAGCAUGUAGGCAGCGAGGAGCACAGCCCGGCAGCUUGGAGAGCUGCAUGUAGCUGACAGGAAAAAAGGUCGGCAAGGUGUUGCAUGCUUCCCUACAGAAGAUCUUGGACAAAGAAGAAAGUUUAGGGACUACGCGCCCGAAA